UACAACACUUAUUCAAUUAUAUUAAUUUAUAAGAAAAUUUGGUGCGGGUGUACGAAGUACUCGCACAGGUGCAGUUUUUUUUAUUGGUGCAUAUUGAAAUGUGGUCCCAAGAUGGUGAUUGUUAUAAUAGGUUUGGAUGUAUUGUAUAUUUUAGCAUUUUUGUUUUUUAUUUUAUUUUUGCCUACUUUUCCAUUUCAAUUACUUGCCACUUUCGAGGAAUCCCCAAAAAUUGAUAUGAGAUUAUUUUUAUGCUGAUCAAAACUCAGCUAAUUGAAGUUGCAGAACUCCAAAAAUUGUUCAGAGAAAUAGCCUCUUUCGAUAACGCCACGAGAUGUAAUCUUUGUGAUGGCAAGAGAGAGAGACUUUUGUGUGUUUGACUAUGCGAUUGAAGAACGAAAGGGACAUGUAUUAAAGCCAUAAUCAAGAGCAAGGAUAAGAAAAAAGACUACCUUGCCAGUACCUGGCAAUUACCAAGGAGAGAGAAGUAUGAGGCAAAGUCAGAUUAUUAAUAGUCCUGGAAAGCACCGUAUAAAGCUUCCAACACUUGCAGUAAGGACAAAAGAUACUGUUUUGGUGGAGAUAGUUGAUAGGAAUGGAUUCUACUUCACAGACGAGUUCUCCUUCACAUUCCAUAUGUAUUACUUGUGAAUGGCCCAAACCGGAACUAUAAUUUCGAUGAUAGAUAAUCGAGAGUUGUAACAGAUAAUUUUCAGUUAUGAACUAAGGAUUUUCGAUUUCGAGUA